rnacentral:lncRNA from 1 species
UUCAUACAGGGAACAGGGAGUGGGGAAUCACAUAAGAGGGCAAGACUAAAUUAAAGGGAUUUAGUGGAAAAGGGGUAUGCAAGAACUCAAACCACAUAGCAACCGAUAAAUAACCCAAAAAAGAGACUGAGCAUGCAAACAAGACAAAAUGGAGAACUAAACAUGCUGAAACUGAAAUAUAUACAGACAAGGGAAAUGGGAAAAUGGAUUAAACAUGCUAAAGCUCAAAUUGAACAGACAAGGGAAACGGGAAGGGGAUUAAACAUGUUGAAUUUAAAUACACAAACAGAUUUUGGAAAGGGGAUUAAACAUGCUAAAGUUUGAAUUGAAAUAUACUAACGGACUAGGGGGAAGGGAAAGGGGCAAUAAUCAUGCUGAUUCAAGCUAGGCAUACUAAUUAACAUAAGUGCAUUCUAGUGGUAAUAAGAACAACAUAACCAUAAGUAAAAGCACACAAGAAACAAGAGGAAGUGCAAAACUGAUAGGAGUAUAUUG